AGCAUCUAUAAUUGUGUUAAAAAAGUUAACCCUGCAGUGCGUUACUACACAUUAUAGAGGCUAUAUUCUGCCUCCGGGGACACAACACUGGGGCAGGAUGGAAUGGCAGCCUGGAACUUGGAGAUUGCACGGUCUGCCUGAAAGAGGGCAGUGACAGCGGUCUGCAGCGGGUCCAGGAGGGGCUCGGUUCCACUUGAAUCUAUGGGCCACAUUCACUUCCCACCUGACGUACCGGGGUCUGGGCGAGGUGUACGCUGCAGGAGGCGCAGCAGCACUGCAACAGUUCCAGAGACAGUGGUGGGUGUUGCCAUCGGCGAGCACCACUAGCAGCAAGUGGCGGCACAGCAUCCAGAAGGGCACGGGUUCAAGUCCAGUCUUGUCCUGUGAGCAUUGGCGGCCCGAGGGCUACACGUGACCAGUACACCCACCUUCGUCCCAUGGUUGGACAGAGCAGGCCAAACAGAGCUGAGGGCGCCGAGGACCAGGGACUGUAGCAGUCUCCGGAAUCGUGGGCAGCAGCGCAGCGCAAAUUUCAGUGCCUCAGCAGGUGGCGACUGGGAGAGCGUGGCCAACUUCCAGUGGGGCGGCCUUGGUGAUGGCAGCAGCAGCAUCAGCAUACCAGGAGUCUGCUGAACCGGCUGGACUCACAGGACAGCGCGCAGGCGGCACACCGACACUACGCUUCACCUAUCGAGUACUGGAAAUUCAGAAUAAACGAAUGUUACUGAA